CUACGGGUUGCAGCAGUGGGGAAUAUUGCACAAUGGGCGCAAGCCUGAUGCAGCCAUGCCGCGUGUAUGAAGAAGGCCUUCGGGUUGUAAAGUACUUUAAGCGGGGAGGAAGGGAGUAAAGUUAAUACCUUUGCUCAUUGACGUUACCCGCAGAAGAAGCACCGGCUAACUCCGUGCCAGCAGCCGCGGUAAUACGGAGGGUGCAAGCGUUAAUCGGAAUUACUGGGCGUAAAGCGCACGCAGGCGGUUUGUUAAGUCAGAUGUGAAAUCCCCGGGCUCAACCUGGGAACUGCAUCUGAUACUGGCAAGCUAGAGUCUCGUAGAGGGGGGUAGAAUUCCAGGUGUAGCGGUGAAAUGCGUAGAGAUCUGGAGGAAUACCGGUGGCGAAGGCGGCCCCCUGGACGAAGACUGACGCUCAGGUGCGAAAGCGUGGGGAGCAAACAGGAUUAGAUACCCGAGUAGUC
rnacentral:rRNA from 1 species